rnacentral:rRNA from 1 species
CCAGCAGCUGCGGUAAUUCCAGCUCCAAUAGCGUAUAUUAAAGUUGCUGCAGUUAAAAAGCUCGUAGUUGGAUUUCUGGCUCUCGGUUGACCGGGCCCGGCCCUAGUGGUUUGUGUGCUUGUGUCAGCUGGCCAUCCUGCCGGUUUUUGGACGAGCGUCUUGCCCUUCGGGGUGGAGGCGUCUCGGACCCGGCACUAUUACUUUGAAAAAAUUAGAGUGUUUCAAGCAAGCGUUUCGCUUUGAAUACAUUAGCAUGGAAUAAUAAAGUAGGACUUUGGUUCUAUUUUGUUGGUUUCAGGACUGAAGUAAUGAUUGAUAGGGACAGUUGGGGGUGCUAGUAUUCAGCGGCC